CCCACUGUUGCUCAAGUCUAAAUCCACUAAAAAUGGUACAAUUAGUUGAAAAUUGAUUUUAAUUAUAAGACUAAAUACUUUUUAGUGAGACCCUGUUUGGCUUAGCAUGCUAAUUAAUUUCCUAAAAUAAGAGUUUCCCAAAUAAAAUUAAAAUAAAAAAAUAGAUUCAAUAAAUUUCUAGAACAAUGAUUAAAAAAUUAUAAUCUACCUAAACUAUUACUACACAACUUUUUU
rnacentral:lncRNA from 1 species